rnacentral:lncRNA from 1 species
CUUAGUCUGUUGCCCAGGAUGGAAUGCAGUAGUGUGAUUACACCUAACUUCAGCCUGAAACUCCUGGGGUCAAGUUAUCCCCCGACCUCAUCAUCCCAAGUAAUGGGGACUACAGAGUUUAGGAUGCUUCAAGGGAAAGAUGAACCGGGGAACCGCCACCGUGACUAUUUCUCAUCUACAUAUCCACCCCCCGAAGUUCUUAAGGUGGAGCGGAAUUCAUUUUAUUUGCAAAUGUGGAAGGCAUUAUAAAAACCGUGAAUGAUGCCCCCUCCCAUGAGGGAUACAGGGAGAGCCACGUGAAGAGGAUGUUGGGCUUCUUCAAGCUGGCAGGGCACUGAGCUGACUGUCCACCACACUCACCAGGGGCCUUUGUGCAUCCCGUGGGGCAGCUCUGGGAAAGGAGGGCCAGAAAGGAUGGGCUUUCCCUUUUCCUCGUGGCAGAAACUUCCCUGACUUCAUAGCUGGGUUCCCCCUAUCCACAGUUUACAGUACAACUAUCUCCUCCAAGUUGGCCAGCAUUGCCUCUGAUACGUGAACAAGAAGUAUUUGGAGGGUUAAUAAAUACAAAUCAACACAUAUACACAUGAAGAGAAAAUGGAUGUAAUAACCAAGGACUGCCUGAUGAAACCUGUGCCCCAGCACCUGUCUGCUUCUGUCAUGGGGUUGUACUCCAGGAACCAUCGUGCACCUGGCAGCCCUCUCACCCUGCAGGCAGCGAGCCCGGGGAGCCAUAAAGAACUUCUUUUAGAAUGGAUUCACUGACUGAAAUCACGCUUUGGGUAAUUUUUUCUCUGUAGCAAGGCACUUGAAUGUCAUCUUUAAGAUCCAUUGAAUCUAAUAAAUACUGUCUGGAAGUCAUAUACGUACAACUGAAUCUUCCCAGUAUAGGGAGAAUUGGACAGAAUGAGGGUUCAACCUUCUCCUAAUCUUGACUUUGUCAUCCCCUGUAUGACCUUGGCCAGUUUCUUUAACCUCUCUGGGCCUCAGUGUUUGUACAACGGUGCAACUACUGCUAAUGCUACUACUACAACUAGCACCAAUUCAUACUGUGAGAGUCAGAUGAGAUAAGAUGAAUAAAAGUGUUUAAAAAAUAUAAGUAUUGGCUGGGUGUGGUGGCUCACAC